rnacentral:rRNA from 1 species
UACGUAGGGUGCGAGCGUUGUUCGGAUUCAUUGGGCGUAAAGGGUGCGUAGGUGGCGCUGUAAGUCGGGUGUGAAAUCCUGAGGCUUAACCUCGGAACUGCAUUCGAUACUGCGGCGCUUGAGGACUGGAGAGGAGACUGGAAUUCAUGGUGUAGCAGUGAAAUGCGUAGAGAUCAUGAGGAAGACCAGUGGCGAAGGCGGGUCUCUGGACAGUUCCUGACACUGAGGCACGAAGGCCAGGGGAGCAAACGGG